GCUCCAACAUAGCUCCCGCCUGCCCCCUGCCUGGUUUCUAAGCCUCCGUGCACCUCUGAGCCUCACCCUGCCUCUUGGGUACCACAGAAGAAAUGCUUCUGAGGAGAGACCGUGUGGAGAGGGAGCGCUGAGGAGUUAGGCUCCCCUCAGAUGGGGUUCUUUAAAAAUUCUGAAACGAUGUCGUAGAAAAAUAUGCACACACAUAAAAACGAAACCCCCGAACAUAUUCUUUUCUAGCUAUGAAUUGAGGAUAAUAACAUUGUGUUUGAUUUUGAGGGUUUUUAUGAAGAUUAAUUUUUAUGAAGAGUAAUUACUUGGUUAAUUAAUUAACUCAACAAAUAGAAUGUUUUCCAUGUCCCAAGUAUUAUUCUAGAAACUCAGAAUGGUGGAGCACAAGGUCCAGAAAAUUCCUCCCCACUUGGGCUUGCAUUCAACUGAAAAGAUGUAGUUUAUAGGAGUUAAACUUAUCUAUGGUUAUAAUUAGUGUUUAGAGGUGGGCUACUUUUUUCACUGAAUUUAUGUCAUAUAUACUGUUGCAUAGGUUUUAGUCACUUAAUUAAAUAUUUUAAUUGCUGUAGUUAGUUAAUCUUGCCUAACUGAUGGGCAUUUUGAGUUUUUCAGUUUUGACCAUUAUGAACAGUUUCUGUAAACAAUUCUGUAUAAUUAACUUCUAACAAUUCUUUUGAAUUAUUUCCAUAAAAUAAAUUCAUAGAAGGGGAUUUGGGCUAAAGGGUGUGAAUAUUUUUUUACUCUUUUUAGAUAAUACCAGAUCACGCUCCAGAAAUUACCAAAUCAAAUAACUAUCAACAAGGUAUUUUUUUAUACCUGGCAUUCUUGGCAUUGGUUUCUUGAUCAUUUAAUUCCUUUUUGCUAAUUUCAAAGGUACUUGAAUUUUAUGAAGUUGAACAUUUUCUUUCAUGUCAUAAAAACAAGCCUAGUUACAGUGAAUGAAGAUGUGGUAAUAACUUCUCAAAAAUCAUAGUGACUUACAAUGAUGGAGGUUUAUUUCUUGCUCGUGCUAGAUUCCCACUGUGAGUUGACCUGUUCCUGUCCUCAUUCUAGGGGUCAGACUGGUGGGGCAGCCACCAUCUGAAAUGAUGCUGGUCGCUGAGGCAGUGGUCAAGGGAGAGUAGCAAAUCACAUGUAGGUUAUUAAACAGUCUGGCUGGAAUGUUAUUCCUUCUGCCGUUUCAGUAACUUCCAGCCAAAGCAAGUCACAUGGCCAUACCCUACUUCAAGUGCAAGACACCUUCCAGUCUGUCAUGGGACCAAGAGAAGAUACGGAAAAACCAGGAAGCCUGGGUCUGUGGAGAAGUCAAACAGUGAAUUCAUGUGUUCUGGAGACAUCAGUUUCUACCCUCAGCAUUGCUUAAUGUGUGUUCUGAUUUUGUUUGCAUACAGGGUUCAUUUCUCAGUGCCAAUUGAAAUUCAAAUAAGUAUCUUUUGCAUUCUCUUGAUAGUUUCAUUUAGUAAUCACUUUGUGUCUGUCAAGAAUUUUAUGUAUGUUCUUCUUUAACUCCAUUAAUCUUAGCUGAAUUUCAAAGCAUUAUAAUUAAAUUGUAUCAAAUUGUUUACUUUGAAACCCUUUUUAAAAUGUCAAUGGACUGGAAUUAAUUUCUAAUUGGUACAGAGUGCCUGCAAAGGCAGAAUGAGUUGCAAUAUGCAACCAUUGCGAAUAUGAUGAGACCAGAGUUGACAUUAAUAAAAGAACUGUAAUAAUUUACCAUCUGUUUGAUCAGCUGAUGCUUCUUAGCAUAUCAUAAAAGACUACAGAAGAAAGCCAUUUUCAGUUCAUGAAAGGUAAUGAUGCUGUGAUUCCAAGCAGAACCUCUCAGUGGUUGCAUCUUUAUCACUUCCGUUCUCUUAAGAAUUCUGGUGUGUAUCACACACACACAGUUUUCAAGUUCCUGGUAGAAUAUUUUAAAUAUUUCCAUUUAACAAAUCAAUGGUUUUAAUAUGAAAAUCCAAGUUGAAUAUAACUGUCCCACUCCCAAAAAUGAUAAGGGUUUUAAAAGUAGGAUUUCGUAUAUAUUAUAGGUUAUAUAGACCAAUAUUAGGACAUAAGUUUAACAUCUGCUGAAUAAACAUCGCUUCUCUCAAUUCUUUCAAUGUAUUACUAUGACUGCAUAUAUGAGUCAUUUGGAGAUAAUGUCAAAAGUUUCAAUUUAAGACUGUUUAUGAAUGUCAGACCCUGCCCUCUGCCUCCUGGCUUCCUGGGCUCCCCAUAACAGAUGACUCUGAUUAGUUGUGCUUCACAGCUCGCAAAUCUUUGGUAAGUCCUUAGUCUUCCACUAUGGUCUUCCACAUUUCGGUUUUCACUUGCCCAUUUCCCUUACUUCUUGUCAAUUAUCUUCCUUCUACUCCUAUUCUUUCCUCUGCAUGGGAACCCCUUCCCAGUUUUAUCUAGUGGCUCCUGAGGGCAGUGAUCCUGUAUGGCUCAUGGCAUAGCUCAUGUGUGGUUAUAAUAUUUCUGUAGAUACUUGCCAAAAAAAUGAUUAUCUAUUUACAGUCUACCCAUUUUUCAAAAACAGGCUCAAAUAAUACCACUUCUAAAAAGAUCUCUCUGAUUCCUUCAUCUGGAACUAACCUCUAUGUCUGUACAUUGUGAUCUAGAACUCUGUUAUAGCACUUUCUACAUACAGACAUUCUCUGCUGAUAAUUUCUACUCACACAUUUUCAAGAACAUGGAAGAACAUGGAAAUUCCUUCCUUUUUACAUAAAAAAACACCAGCCAAUCUUAUGUUUGUCCUACAUAUUUGCUGCUGCUUUUUUUUUUUUCCCACAAAUUACAAUACAACUCUUUUCCUACCAAAGUUUACCCCCUUCACAUGUGCUCUGGAACCUAUCUUUUCUUCUUUUGAUAAGGUACUUGCUCCCUUUCACUCCUCUAACAUCAAUCAGUCUUCUCUUUAUAGCAUAAUUUUCACCAGCACUCAAAUGUGUUCUAGUAUUUCCCUUCUUAACAGAUAAUCCCUGUUGAUGUCACAUACUUUAUGAAUCGCCAUCACAUUCUCUUUCCUCCCUUUCGCAGCAAAACUUCUUGAGUUGCCUGUUUUACCUGUUUCUUGUCCUCAUCUUUUAUUCUCUUAUCCUAGUUAGACUUGGUUUAUAACCCCACCAGUUCACUGAGGUUGUUUCUACUGAGGUCACCAGAUUGAAUUCUAUGUUGCCAAACCCUACAUUCAUUUUUAUAUCUAUAUUUAUUCAGGGUCUCAGAGACAUUUAACAUAGUGCUGAUAACUUGGUUUUUAAAAAAUAUUCUUUAAUGUUGACUUUCAUGACACCACACUCACCAGAUUUUACUUCUGCCUUUUCAGUUGCUCACCAGUAAUGGAGAUAAAAUGAAUCAUAAAAAAUUCUCAAUUAAUUAAAAAGAAGGAAGUAAAAUAGGGGAAAGGGGAAUGAAGAAUAGAGAGGACAAAUAAAAAACAAAAAGAUGGUAAACUGAAAUCCUACCAUAGGAAUAAUUAAAUUAGAUGCAAAUGGUCUAAACAUCCCAAUUAAAAGGCAGAUUGUCAGAUUGGAUAGCAAGACCCCAUUAUAUGCUGUCUACAAGAAAGUAUGUAAAGACUACAGAUAUAUUAAAAGUUAAAGGAUAUAAUAUAUACUCUAUUAACCCUAAUCCAAAGAAAGUGGAAUUGUCCAUAUUAAUAUUAGACAAAGUAGACUUAGAACAAGGACUAUUACAGG